rnacentral:sRNA from 1 species
AUGCGCGCACGUCCACUCCGGCUCGCAUGCGCCGUCCCCGCCGCCUGACGACUGCUCGCGACAGUGUGCUAACG